AGUGAACGCUGGCGGUAGGCCUAACACAUGCAAGUCGAACGGCAGCACAGUAAGAGCUUGCUCUUACGGGUGGCGAGUGGCGGACGGGUGAGGAAUACAUCGGAAUCUACUUUUUCGUGGGGGAUAACGUAGGGAAACUUACGCUAAUACCGCAUACGAACUACGGGUGAAAGCAGGGGAUCUUCGGACCUUGCGCGAUUGAAUGAGCCGAUGUCGGAUUAGCUAGUUGGCGGGGUAAAGGCCCACCAAGGCGACGAUCCGUAGCUGGUCUGAGAGGAUGAUCAGCCACACUGGAACUGAGACACGGUCCAGACUCCUACGGGAGGCAGCAGUGGGGAAUAUUGGACAAUGGGCGCAAGCCUGAUCCAGCCAUACCGCGUGGGUGAAGAAGGCCUUCGGGUUGUAAAGCCCUUUUGUUGGGAAAGAAAAGCAGCAGGUUAAUACCCCGCUGUUCUGACGUUACCCAAAGAAUAAGCACCGGCUAACUUCGUG
rnacentral:rRNA from 1 species